AUUGAACGCUAGCGGGAUGCUUUACACAUGCAAGUCGAACGGCAGCGCGGACUUCGGUCUGUCGGCCAGUGGCGAACGGGUGAGUAGUGUAUGGGAACGUGCCCAGUAGCGUGUGCUAACUACACGACGGCGUGACUCAUACCGCAUUAGCGCUUCCGAGCUAAGCAUGAAAUCAUGAGACCUUCCGCCCUUGCGCGGUCCAAUGUCCCGAUAUCGGAUUAGCUAGUUGGCGGGGUAACGGCCCACCAAGGCGACGAUCCGUAGCUGGUCUGAGAGGACGAUCAGCCACACUGGGACUGAGACACGGCCCAGACUCCUACGGGAGGCAGCAGUGGGGAAUUUUGGACAAUGGGGGCAAGCCUGAUCCAGCCAUCCCGCGUGUGUGAUGAAGGCCUUCGGGUUGUAAAGCACUUUUGUCAGGAAAGAAACGCCGCGGGCUAAUACCCCGCGGAACUGACGGUACCUGAAGAAUAAGCACCGGCUAACUACGUG
rnacentral:rRNA from 1 species